AAAAACCGACACAGGUGGGUGAGGCGAGCAGCCUCAGGUGAACGAGUGAAACGUGGUCAAGGAACUCGGCAUAAUGAUCCCGUAACUUCGGAAGAAGGGAUGCCAGAGAGGGUGUAGGGUACACCGAAGCUCUCCCUGGUCGCAGCGAAUCGGCCCAAGCGACUGUUUAGCAAAAACACAGGUGUGUGCCAAGCCGCACAAGGCGCCGUAUACACACUGACGCCUGCCCGGUGCCGGAAGGUUAAGGGGAGAGGUUAGCCGCAAGGCGAAGCUUUGAGCCGAAGCCCCGGUAAACGGCGGCCGUAACCAUAACGGUCCUAAGGUAGCGAAAUUCCUUGUCGGGUAAGUUCCGACCUGCACGAAUGGCGUAACGACUUGGGCACUGUCUCGACCACGUGCUCGGCGAAAUGGCAGUCUCGGUGAGGAUUCCGAGUCCCCGCGACAGGACAAAAAGACCCCAUGCACCUUUACUGUAGCUUGUCAUUGGUCGUUGCACAUCGCUGUGUAGCAUAGGUGGGAGGCGUUGAUCCGUGGGCGCUAGCUUACGGGGAGCCAUCAGUGAAAUACCACCCUGCGUCGUGCGACGCCCUCACCACGGCGGGAACACCCCGUCUGGGACCGUGGCAGGUGGGCAGUUUGACUGGGGCGGUCGCCUCCGAAACAGUAACGGAGGCGCGCGCAAGGUUGGCUCAGCGCGGACGGUACUCGCGCUUCUAGAGUGUAACGGCAGAAGCCAGCCUGACGGUGUGAUCGACGGAUCGGGCCGCCACGAAAGUGGGCCGUAGUGAUCCGGUAGCCCGGGGUGGAGCGGCUAUCGCGCAACGGAUAAAAGGUACGCUGGGGAUAACAGGCUUAUCGCGCCCGAGAGUUCACAUCGACGGCGCGGUUUGGCACCUCGAUGUCGGCUUAUCACAUCCUGGGGCUGGAGAAGGUCCCAAGGGUCCGGCUGUUCGCCGGUUAAAGUGGUACAUGAGCUGGGUUCAGAACGUCGUGAGACAGUUCGGUCUGUAUCCGUCGUGGGCGUUGGAGAGUUGAGGGGAGCGGACUCUAGUACGAGAGGACCGAGUCGGACGACCCGCUCGUGUCCCGGUUGUCCUGCCAAGGGCACCGCCGGGUAGCGAUGGUCGGCUGUGAUAACCGCUGAAAGCAUCUAAGUGGGAAGCACGCCCCAAGAUGAACUCUCCCGAGGCCUUGAGCCUCUUGAAGGGCCGGGGAAGACCACCCCGUCGAUAGGCCGCCCGUGGACGUCCCGCAAGGGAUUCCAAGCGCAGCGGUCCUAAUCGCCCGUAUGGCUUGACUAC
rnacentral:rRNA from 1 species